rnacentral:rRNA from 1 species
GUGGGGAAUUUUGGACAAUGGGCGCAAGCCUGAUCCAGCAAUACCGCGUGCAGGAAGAAGGCCUUCGGGUUGUAAACUGCUUUUGUACGGAACGAAACGGUCCGGGUUAAUACCCUGGGCUAAUGACGGUACCGUAAGAAUAAGCACCGGCUAACUACGUGCCAGCAGCCGCGGUAAUACGUAGGGUGCAAGCGUUAAUCGGAAUUACUGGGCGUAAAGCGUGCGCAGGCGGUUUUGUAAGACAGGCGUGAAAUCCCCGGGCUCAACCUGGGAAUUGCGCUUGUGACUGCAAGGCUGGAGUGCGGCAGAGGUGGAUGGAAUUCCGCGUGUAGCAGUGAAAUGCGUAGAUAUGCGGAGGAACACCGAUGGCGAAGGCAAUCCCCUGGGCCUGCACUGACGCUCAUGCACGAAAGCGUGGGGAGCAAACAGGAUUAGAAACCCUUGUAGUCC